AAGCGAGCUGGCACUAUCACUGUAGUUCGACUCUUAUCUCAACAGGAAAGAGGAAUACGACACACGGGCCUCCUUGGAAAAAAAGCAACAGAUACGACCGUCGGCCUGCGCCGUUAAAGAGAAUAGCCAAACAGGUGCGCGUGUGCUUCGUGAUGUUUUAGCGAAAGAACUUGGAUGAGGGAAGUUUUUGUUUUUGCGCCGUGAGUUUCGGGAUUUGCUCGAGCGUGCACGGCUUUGAGGAAGUUGCUGAAUGGCUUGCUAAGCUUAUUUUACUUCGGGGGUUUGGUUUUAGCUGGACUUGAAAGGUGAUCAGAGCUUCCUUUCGCGGGAUGAGCUUUUGAUUGAAGAUUCUGUCAACUAACAUAAGGAAGGUUCGAACCGCGAUAUUAAAAUAAGAAGUAAUAACCAAUAAGAAAGGCAUUUGUCUACAGCUUUCAGACAGUCAUUCAUAUAUUCCUAGUAAAAUGAACUUUCUAGAAAUUUCAAGUUCUUCUACAGAAACAAGAACGAAUGAAGCGACGCACCACUAUUCAUCUCUUGUAGUUUGACAUCCUGGAGAAGUUCGAAACCAUUUUUCAAUUCGCUAUGCGUUACAGAAACAGAGCCUCAUGCUCACCGUUAUAUUUUACGACCGUAAACUGGAGUAACAUACAUGCACGACGCGCGUCGCGUACUUUAUUGUUCCUAAAUCAUAUGCGAAAUGCGAACAAUAAUUUUCGACGACUGUAGAGCGAUGCAUCGCGUGUAUAGCUUGUAAGCUGGGCAUAAAACCCUCCUAGAAUGUGAUAAAGAGCGAGACUUGGUUGAUUCUGACGCAUGAUCUACAAAGAAUAAAACCAGUGGACCAGUGGACAUCAUCCUGGUAGAAAAUGAGGAAGCGAUCGAGGAAGUGCCUACAGUGAGUGAUGCGUUACAAAUAAUCAGAUGCUGACGAAUUACGAAUAUGCGAUCUAAUUAUGAUGUAAGUUCAAGAGUUAUUUGUUAUGGAGCGAAUAAUAAUUUAAUAAAAAUUACAAAUAUAACAAGACA